GUCUGGCGUCCUGCCUGUGAUGGGUGGGGUUGAGGGCAUGCUGUUGGGUUGUGGGGGAUCACAUGUGUGGAGGCCUGUGCGGCGCUGUGUUGCGGGCGUGUGUGCGUGGUGUGGUGUUCGUGGGGUGGUUGAGAACUGUAUAGUGGAUGCGAGUAUCUUUAUUGUUGUAUGUGUUUGUGCGACGUGGUGUUGUGCAAAGUUGUGUAGUGCGAUCGGUGGAUGCCUUGGCACCAAGAGCCGAUGAAGGACGUUGUGACCUGCGAUAAGCCCUGGGGAGUUGGUGAGCGAGCUGUGAUCCGGGGGUGUCCGAAUGGGGAAACCUGGAAUGUCCGGAUAGUGUCCGGUGGCCCUGCCCUGAAUGUUAGGGGUGUGGGUGGUAACGCGGGGAAGUGAAACAUCUUACUACCCGUAGGAAGAGAAAACCUUGUGAUUCCAUGAAUGAGGCGAACGAACAAGACUCGAGCGGAAUACCAGUGUUGAACGUGACACCCUUGAGGGUAUUGAUCUUGUUGAAGGUGGUUGAUUUUUGAGAACAUGCUCGCGUACGAGGACACACACACUAGUACAACUCUAGCUCGAGCAACGUAUACAGCACUGCAGA
rnacentral:misc_RNA from 1 species